rnacentral:lncRNA from 1 species
UAUGGUUUUGAUUUACUUUUAAAUCUUUUUUCGUCUCUCUCAUUGAGUCCAUCCGGUUCAAGAGUUCGUAACUGGUGCAUCCAAAAUCUCUCUCUUUUUUGUCUUCCUUGUGUAUCCCAAUUUUGAUUUUUCUCAAUGAUUUGAAAUGUGACGUUUUCCAAAUCAUGUCCUGCUCUUAAAAGGUGUCUUGUAAUUGGGCAGUUCCUUUCUUUUGUAUAAAAUGACCGAUGAUUAUUUAGUCGGAUGUUAAAUGGUGUUUCUGUUU